rnacentral:rRNA from 1 species
AUUGAACGCUGGCGGCAGGCCUAACACAUGCAAGUCGAGCGAGCGGCGGACGGGUGAGUAAUGUAUGGGGACUGCCCGAUAGAGGGGGAUAACUACUGGAAACGGUAGCUAAUACCGCAUAUUAUCGGAUAACCCAUAUGGGAUUAGCUAGUAGGUGAGGUAAUGGCUCACCUAGGCGACGAUCCCUAGCUGGUCUGAGAGGAUGAUCAGCCAAACUGGGACAGAGACACGGCCCUGACUCUAGCGGAGGCAGCAGUGGGAGAUAUUGCACAAUGGGCGCAAGCCUUAUGCUGCCAUGCCGCGUGUAUGAAGAGUGCCCUAGGGUUGUAAAGUACUUUCAGUCGGGAGGCGUUACCGACAGAAGAAGCACCGGCGAACUCCGUGCCAGCAGCCGCGGUAAUAC